AAAGCAUGGCGAGGGCAUUUUCUAAGCAGUUCCUUAAAUCUUUCCCAACUUUCAUAAAUGGAUUAUCCUUCAAACUUAAUAAAAGAAGGAAGUUAUAUCAUUUCUAAGUUU